UACGGAGGAUGCGAGCGUUAUCCGGAUUUAUUGGGUUUAAAGGGUGCGUAGGCGGAUCGUUAAGUCAGUGGUCAAAUUGAGGGGCUCAACCCCUUCCCGCCAUUGAAACUGGCGAUCUUGAGUGGAAGAGAAGUAUGCGGGAUGCGUGGUGUAGCGGUGAAAUGCUUAGAGAUCAUACAGAACACCGAUUGCGAAGGCAGCUUACCAAUCUAUAUCUGACGUUGAGGCACGAAAGCGUGGGGAGCAAACAGG
rnacentral:rRNA from 1 species